GUUUCCUGUUCUGAAGCUGCCAAAAAUGAAAACAGCACCAACAGUUAUAUUGAAACUACAGCUCAUCAGACCUCUCAAAUGACUACCUUCUUCAGGGAAUCAUCUUACAGACUAAACCAGCUUUCAACUUGUUUCAGCUUCCCCAAUUAGUAUUCCUAAUUUCACAUGGAGACUAAACUUCCAACAGAAAUCUUCAGUUCUUUUGAAAAAGGCUAAAGACAGGAACAAGCUUUAGCAGUUGAUCAGAGCUCAGGAACAAACUGGACUUAAUUCAGGACAAUCUGCAAUGAGAAGAAACUGGAGACCAGGAUGAUUUCUGUAAUUUUGUGGGGUGUAUACAGUGCAAGAUUCAUUGUUUGUGCUCUGCUUCAGCUGAACAGCUUCCUGUGCAGUGUGUGGACGACCCGAUGGUAGAAAAUGCUGUGAUCGUCUUUGGAGAUCAGGAAUUCCUGAUGGUGCUGCGAGAGAGACAGCAACCGAGACGGAGCGAGAGAGUGAAUGAGGGCCUCUUGCAGGGGCCAAGGGCUUGGAACCUUCCUAUCCUUAGACCAAGAUGGAAGAUAAGGACGAAGGCAACGAUGUAGAUCUUAAAUGUGUUUUAGGGCCCCAACUAAGUAUUGAGUGCUGUACAUGCUCAUACUUUUCAGUUGGCCCAGGUUUCUAAAAAUUCUCUCUUUGUAUUGGUCUUAAGUAAUAUUCUAAUUUUCUGAGAUACUGAAUUUGGGAUUUUCCUUAGAUGUCAGUUAUAAUCCUCAAAAUUAAAAGAAAUAAACA